GAUGAACGCUAGCGGCAGGCCUAAUACAUGCAAGUCGAGGGGUAUGGGUUGCUUGCAACCCAGAGACCGGCGCACGGGUGCGUAACGCGUAUGCAAUCUACCUUAAUCAGGGGGAUAGCCCGGAGAAAUCCGGAUUAACACCGCAUAACAUUGAGUUGUGGCAUCACAGUUCAAUCAAAUAUUUAUAGGAUUAAGAUGAGCAUGCGUGACAUUAGUUAGUUGGUGAGGUAACGGCUCACCAAGACCACGAUGUCUAGGGGAUCUGAGAGGAUGACCCCCCACACUGGUACUGAGACACGGACCAGACUCCUACGGGAGGCAGCAGUAAGGAAGAUUGGUCAAUGGGCGCAAGCCUGAACCAGCCAUGCCGCGUGCAGGAAGACGGCCCUAUGGGUUGUAAACUGCUGUUGUACCGGAAUAAACCUUCUCUUGCGAGAGAAGCUGAACGUACGGUAAGAAUAAGGAUCGGCUAACUCCGUG
rnacentral:rRNA from 1 species